rnacentral:rRNA from 1 species
GACGAACGCUGGCGGCGUGCCUAAUACAUGCAAGUAGAACGCUGAAGGAGGAGCUUGCUUCUCUGGAUGAGUUGCGAACGGGUGAGUAACGCGUAGGUAACCUGCCUGGUAGCGGGGGAUAACUAUUGGAAACGAUAGCUAAUACCGCAUAAUAGUAGAUGUUGCAUGACAUUUACUUAAAAGGUGCAAUUGCAUCACUACCAGAUGGACCUGCGUUGUAUUAGCUAGUUGGUGGGGUAACGGCUCACCAAGGCGACGAUACAUAGCCGACCUGAGAGGGUGAUCGGCCACACUGGGACUGAGACACGGCCCAGACUCCUACGGGAGGCAGCAGUAGGGAAUCUUCGGCAAUGGACGAAAGUCUGACCGAGCAACGCCGCGUGAGUGAAGAAGGUUUUCGGAUCGUAAAGCUCUGUUGUAAGAGAAGAACGAGUGUGAGAGUGGAAAGUUCACACUGUGACGGCAUCUUACCAGAAAGGGACGGCUAACUACGUG